rnacentral:misc_RNA from 1 species
UGGUGGACGAUGCGGGAGCGAUCACGGCGGUGAUCGACUGGGAGUUCUGCUCGUCCAACGUCGCCCCCUACUGGGACUUGGCGCUGGCGCUGCACGAUCUUUCCGUCGAUGCCAAGCAGGCCUUUCUCGGCGGCUAUGGACUGAGCGAGAAGGAAGUGCGCGACAUGGCGCCCAUUCUCAAGGCUCUCAAUGUCAUCAACUAUGCGCCGUUUGUCGAGCGGGCCGCCGACGAGAAGGACGAGCGCCGGCUCGACCAGUACCGGACCCGGUUCAGCGGAGCCCUGGAUCUCUACUCGCUCUGAUCGAGCCCUCGGAAUAGCCGGCUGCGAAAGUCCCGAACCCACCUCCUUCCGCCGGAAGCGAAAGACCUUGGUCCAGAACGGUCCGCUCGCUGGAGAUUAACAACGUCUGUGUUCACUAUAGUGAGGGGGCCUCCCCAUUAGCUCUGUCGC